CCUACGGGAGGCAGCAGUGAGGAAUAUUGGUCAAUGGGCGCAAGCCUGAACCAGCCAAGCCGCGUGAGGGAAGAAGGUCCUAUGGGUUGUAGACCUCUUUUGUCUGGGGGCAAAAGACUCCACGCGUCGCGUUCCGAGAGUACCCGAAGAAAAAGCAUCGGCUAACUCCGUGCCAGCAGCCGCGGUAAUACGGAGGAUGCGAGCGUUAUCCGGAUUUAUUGGGUUAAAGGGGUGCGCAGGCGGAACAUCAAGUCAGCGUUAAAAUUGAGGGGCUCAACCUCGCCGAGCCGUUGAAUCUGGUGUCCUUGAGUGAGCGAGAGGUAUGCGGAAUGCGUGGUGUAGCGGUGAAAUGCAUAGAUAUCACGCAGAACUCCGAUUGCGAAGGCAGCAUCCCGGCGCUCAACUGACGCUCAUGCACGAAAGUGUGGGUAUCGAACAGGAUUAGAUACCCCAGUAGUC
rnacentral:rRNA from 1 species